UGGCGGAUGUGCAUAUCACUCCGCCGAGCACGCUUCCGCAGAAGACACCCUCGAACUCUGUCUGAAGAUUGUAGUCUGAGUGAAAAUAUAAAUUAUUUAAAACUUUCAACAACGGAUCUCUUGGUUCCGGCAUCGAUGAAGAACGCAGCGAAAUGCGAUACGUAAUGUGAAUUGCAAAUUCAGUGAAUCAUCGAGUCUUUGAACGCACAUUGCGCCCCCUGGUAUUCCGGGGGGCAUGCCUGUCCGAGCGUCAUUGCUGCCCUCAAGCACGGCUUGUGUGUUGGGCCCCGUCCUCCGAUCCCGGGGGACGGGCCCGAAAGGCAGCGGCGGCACCGCGUCCGGUCCUCGAGCGUAUGGGGCUUUGUCACCCGCUCUGUAGGCCCGGCCGGCGCUUGCCGAUCAACCCAAAUUUUUAUCCAGGUUGACCUCGGAUCAGGUAGGGAUACCCGCUGAACUUAA
rnacentral:rRNA from 1 species